rnacentral:sRNA from 1 species
UAUAGAAUAAUUAUUUUUCGUAAAAUUUGUGUUGUCUGUAAAAGGCUUGUGUGGUGCCUAAAUUAACUUAUCGUCAAAUUGCGUCGGAUCCCUGGUCGGUCGUGCCGCUCUUAUUAUUAUGAAUUAGGUUUUGGUUUUCUUCAACGGGUAAUUGUGGGAAAGAACAAUCGUGUAUACACAUUUUUUCUAGUUUUGUAGAAAAGGCCUGCAUAUCAAUGAUAUAAUAUGGAGCCUCAAUCGCUCGGUGUUCUUAAAGUGAAAACUUUUGCGGAUAAGUUUUAAAUAAAGUGAAAAGGUUUUGGAAAUUUUCGAUGGAAAUUGAUUUCAGUUUGGCACACUUUUCCUUACGCAUAGUGCACUGGGGGCCGUCCGUUGAAAGACUGGGUUAAAUCACGGUGGGACCAUCUUUGUUUGUCAAUUUUAUGCAAGGACCGAAAAUAAUCAACUGGAUUCCCAUAAAAUCACUACAACCAAUCUGAUCGCUGUAAUAUUUCGUAUUUUGCUUAUUGGUCGUUGUCUUAAUAUAUCCCUCCUAUACACCGA